rnacentral:lncRNA from 1 species
AUGGGAGCCAAGCAACAGAGAAGGGGUGUGUACAGGAACAGGGCAAUGAGAAGGAUCAAAGCAGAGGCUUGUUUAUGUUAGAGAAUAGAGGGGAGAGCAAACUUCAAGUACUUCUGCAGGACAAAUAUUUGUGAUCUUGGCGUCAUUUUGUCUGAAGGCUAAGGGCUCACCACGUACUGGAUACCACGGAGAGGUCAUACUGUAAUUUAUCCCAGCUAAGAAAGAAACUGUAGCUAUUCCCGGGUAUCAGUAAUAACCCAUUUCUGUAGCAUUGCGAGGUUCAGCUCAAGACAGAGGACCACCCAGACGUACUACAAAUGUUUCUGCUAGAAUUCAAAUAAAUCACAUUUGCAGACACUAUAGUGCUUCCCAUCAGGGGUGAGAAGGGUAUGUGCAAAAUAGUGCAAGCUCUGAGGGGCUGGGAGGAGCAGUUCCCCACAUUGCCAAGGAGGGCCAUAAUGAAGACUGUCUUCCUGCUGGGAAGCACCAGAACGCGUUUAUUGAUUGGAGGUGAAUGCAGUGAAUGUAAAGUUGGGGAGUUUUGCAGUUUAAUCCGACAUCUGUCAUUCUCGGAAGAAUGAACAGUUCAAAGUAAAACCUCAUCCAUAUUGAUGUGGUCUUCCCAGUAGCUGUCCAUAACACGCGGACCAAGUUAAUUGCCCUGUUGGAAGAAUUAAGGAAAUAAUAUACUGAAGCAGCUAAUAUAAUGUCUGGCUCAAAAUGGAGAUUGAAAAAAUAUUAGCUCUCUUCUCCUUUCAAAUCGGGAAGGUAGGGGAAGCUUUGGAAGCAGACUUCUGACUGCUGGAGAAGAAAAAUAGAAAAAACAACAACGUGGAAACACAGAUGUGUGUUUCUGGUGUGCAGGGAAGUUGAAUUUUCCAUUUUGGGGAGAGGUUUUUUUUUGGUGGGGAGGAGGGAGCAAAGAUGGAGUGCCUACUUUAUUAUUAUUUUUAUCCCUCAGGUUGGCAGGUGGUGGAGAGAAUACCAAGACCUAGGCUCUCCUGAUCUCCCUGCAUCCCUGUCAUUUUUGGCAAUGUCGCUAAUCGGCCCAGCAGCCCGAAUCCACACGCCCCGGCGUCCGGGCUCUGCAAGGUGCAGCUGGUCUCAGGCCCUGUCUCAGAAUACAGAAGUAAUCAGAAUUUAUUCACGUGGGCCGACUGAGAGUUUUGACGUCAAAGGGCAAUCCUGUCUGAUUGAUACCACUCAAAUGGCAAUAUUGUUUGAAGAAAUGUAGUUAGAGAGAUGGCAAUUUAAAGGCUAUAAGAAGUUACAGGAAAAGAUUUUGUGAAUAGAGACUAUAAAGCACUCCUGUAACCUUGGCCCCAAAGAGGGCUCUCCAGACAGAAAGUUGCCUGCAUGUCCCGGUGCGUGUUUUUGAGUGUGAUACUGUUCUUCACUGCUCUGUCCCAAGAAAUCCAGCAUUGCCUAUGGCAUACCUUCUGAGGAAAGCCUUUGGGGCAAAGAAAUUACAAAAAUGAAGGGGAAAUUUGGACACAGAGCCACUCAGAGAGGGAAGAGGUCGUGAAGAGACACUGGCAGAAGAUAGCCAUGUACAAGCCAAGUAGAGAGGACUGGAACAGAUCCUUCCCUCACAGCCUCCGAGGAACCAACCUGGCCGACACCUUGAUUUCAGACUUCUGGCCUCCAGAACUGUGUGAGACAGCACAUUUCUGUUGUGGAAGCCACCCAGUCUGUGGUACUUUGUUACAGCAGCUCCAGCAAAUGCACACCAUGAGCGUGUGUGUGACUGUGGGCAUCUGAGUGUCAAUGUCAAUGUAUGUGUAGACUGGGAGUUGCUCUGGUCAUAAAUCUAAAGAUGGCUAUCAUGCUGCUCCUUUUCUUUGCUUAUCCAAUACCACUCACAUUUCGAGGCCUGCCACAAAUCCCCCUCCUUCUUGACAUCUUUCAUGGGUUCUCAGUGCUCCAGGUGCAAUUCUGGCUGCCACCAAUUAAUCGCGUGAUUCAUGGUGACCUUGAGGGAAACAACCUUUCUCAUUAAUCUUUGGGUCCCUGUAUUUGUCUUAUGGCCCAGCAUGUAGUAAGUACUCAAAUAAUAUUUGUUUGCUUCACUUAACCUUCUAUUUAAUUUUUUUUACUGUGAAAUAAAACAAAUGUAGAAAAUUGUACAAAACAAGAGUUUACAGCCCAGUGUUUUAUCACAAAGUGAACAUCUGUGUAACUACUACACAGAGCAAAAAAU